GAUGAAGAACGUAGCGAAAUGCGAUACUUGGUGUGAAUUGCAGAAUCCCGUGAACCAUCGAGUCUUUGAACGCAAGUUGCGCCUCAAGCCAUUAGGUUGAGGGCACGUCUGCCUGGGCGUCACAUAUCGUUGCCUGAUGCCAGUUUCCUCGUGAUGGGUGACUGUGCAGGGCGAAUGAUGGCUUCCCGUGAGCAUUGUUGCCUCAUGGUUGGUUGAAAGUUGAGUCCUUGGUAGGGAGCGCCGUGAUAGAUGGUGGUUGAGUGACGAACGAGACCCAAUCAUGUGAGACCCCUACCGAAUUUGGCCUUCAUGACCCACAUGCGUCUUUGGAACGCUCAUGACGAGACCUCAGGUCAGGCGGGGCUACCCGCUGAGUUUAAGCAUAUCAAUAAGCGGAGGA
rnacentral:misc_RNA from 1 species